GCAAGUAUAAAAAUCGUAAACAAAUGUAACACGUUCAGUUCAAAACUAGAACAGGUGACAACAGUCUGUACAUAUCUGGUAUUCAUUUCCAUCCCAUCAUUCACCUGUAAUUCACCACUGUUUUUAUUUAACCAAACUUGACUCAGGUCAAAACUGUGUUUGUUUGUAUUUGUUUACUGUCACUGCAGAUCAUGAUGCUGGACCCAGUGAUGUAACUUACGCUGAGCUUGAACUGAAGACACAGAAAAAAGCAAAGAAAAAACAAGUGAAAGCCAAUGUCGAACCUGACACUCUUUACUCAGAGCUGAAGCAGGACACAUAGGUGCUGGAAAUGUGUGUAAAGAGUGAAGAGAUGAGAUCAAGAGUUCAUCUUGUUCAUCAUGUGUGCAUUCACAAUAAUAUCAGAGUGAGAUUUUUUUUAUACAGCUAAUCCCUGAGUUAUGAAGGAGAUGACUCCAUCGUAAAUCGAAAAUAUCGCAAGUUGAACCAUGACCUAACCUUCGUUCAACUUAAAGAAGUCUUAAAGAGUGGUGAUCAGUAUGGGGGUAGUAUACUGUAAUUUGGUAAUAAUUUAACACUUUACAGUACAUUUUGCUAAUGCAAUCUAAUACAAAGCUUUUUCUGUAAAUAAUCCUAUGUGCUAUACAAACCUUUAACAAUGGUGGUAACCCUAAAAUAAAACUGCUAAAUCUUCAAACAAGUAUCAUAUCAUAUUGGGGUAGUGGUGGCUCAAAUGGUUAAGGCUCUGGGAUGUUGAUCGGAGGAUCGGGGUUCAAGGCGAUAGUAAAGGCUUCUAUGCCCCAUUGUCCUAUGCCCCAUGCCCUAUAUCAAAUUGUAAUCAUUUUGACUGACGUCUGCAUACUUGAACCACUUUUAGUGGUUGAUGCCCACGUUAACUUAGUUGCCUGAAGAUUGAACUUAUUUGGUUUAAGUAAGAAAAUUGGAAAGGAUUAUAUUUUAGCAAUUAUGUAUUUACGCAAUCCAAACUAUUUCCACACAACAAAAACAAGUGCCAAAAAUACAGAUUGUGACAAUAUCAGUAUUUGUAAAAAAAUAUCCAUCAAGUUAUUUAUGUAAAUACUAUAUGCAUAUCGGUUGUUUCAUAU